rnacentral:rRNA from 1 species
UACAGAGGGUGCAAGCGUUAAUCGGAAUUACUGGGCGUAAAGCGUGCGUAGACGGUUAUUUAAGUCAGGUGUGAAAGCCCCGGGCUCAACCUGGGAAUUGCAUUUGAGACUGAAUAGCUAGGGUGCGGAAGAGGGAAGCGGAAUUUCCGGUGUAGCGGUGAAAUGCGUAGAUAUCGGAAGGAACACCAGUGGCGAAGGCGGUUGCCUGGGGCUUUGCUGACGCUGAGGCGCGAAAGCGUGGGGAGCGAUCCGG